rnacentral:lncRNA from 1 species
GAGAAAGGCAUGUCUCUCACACAUGACGCCUCUCUUUAUGUUCUGUACCUGGUGUGUUAGUUUCCUGUGCCUGCCCUAACAAAGCACCACAAACCAGGUCUUUGAGGAAUCACCACACUGUCUUCCACAAUGGUUGAACUAAUUUACUUUCCCACCAACGGUGUAAAAAGGGGAAAAAGAAAUCCUUCCAUUCUCUAAACUAGCUUGAGUUGAUUUAUAUCACAGCAUCUCCAAGAGCAUAGAUCUUCUGCUACACGACAGGGCCAGGGCCAGGACACCACUUUCAGCUCCAGGCAAUUGCACUGAGGACUCAGUGACACAACCGUGUGAAGUGCCUGCUUCCCCUUCGCCUUCUGCCAUGAUUGGAAGCUUCCUGAGGCCUCUACAGAAGCAGAAGCCGCUAUGCUUCCUGUACAGCUUGCAGAACUAUGAGCCAAUUAAACCUCUUUUCUUUAUUAAUUA